AUUGAACGCUGGCGGCAUGCCUUACACAUGCAAGUCGAACGGCAGCACGGGAGCAAUCCUGGUGGCGAGUGGCGAACGGGUGAGUAAUAUAUCGGAACGUGCCCAGUCGUGGGGAUAACGUAGCGAAAGCUACGCUAAUACCGCAUACGAUCUACGGAUGAAAGCGGGGGAUCGCAAGACCUCGCGCGAUUGGAGCGGCCGAUAUCAGAUUAGGUAGUUGGUGAGGUAAAGGCUCACCAAGCCGACGAUCUGUAGCUGGUCUGAGAGGACGACCAGCCACACUGGGACUGAGACACGGCCCCGACUCCUACGGGAGGCAGCAGUGGGGAAUUUUGGACAAUGGGCGCAAGCCUGAUCCAGCAAUGCCGCGUGCAGGAUGAAGGCCU
rnacentral:rRNA from 1 species